CGGGGGCAGAAGCAUCUCAGGAGUCCAGCAAAGGUCCCAGGUCCCGUUGAGCAACCAGAGAUGUCAACCUGGGGGAACCUCAGCCACCCAGGUGAGCAGGAGUUCGGAGAAGGCCCAAGAUGUUCCAGCAGGGCGGAAGGGUACAACC